rnacentral:rRNA from 1 species
UACGAAGGGGGCUAGCGUUGCUCGGAAUCACUGGGCGUAAAGGGUGCGUAGGCGGGUCUUUAAGUCAGGGGUGAAAUCCUGGAGCUCAACUCCAGAACUGCCUUUGAUACUGAAGAUCUUGAGUCCGGGAGAGGUGAGUGGAACUGCGAGUGUAAGAGGUGAAAUUCGUAGAUAUUCGCAAGAACACCAGUGGCGAAGGCGGCUCACUGGCCCGGUACUGACGCUGAGGCACGAAAGCGUGGGGAGCAAACAGG